CAGGCUUAACACAUGCAAGUCGAGGGGCAGCAUGGUCUUAGCUUGCUAAGGCCGAUGGCGACCGGCGCACGGGUGAGUAACGCGUAUCCAACCUGCCUUACACUCUUGGACAGCCUUCUGAAAGGGAGAUUAAUACAAGAUGUUAUCAUGAGUAAGCAUUUUCGCAUGAUUAAAGGUUUACCGGUGUAAGAUGGGGAUGCGUUCCAUUAGAUAGUAGGCGGGGUAACGGCCCACCUAGUCUUCGAUGGAUAGGGGUUCUGAGAGGAAGGUCCCCCACAUUGGAACUGAGACACGGUCCAAACUCCUACGGGAGGCAGCAGUGAGGAAUAUUGGUCAAUGGACGAGAGUCUGAACCAGCCAAGUAGCGUGAAGGAUGAAGGUUCUAUGGAUUGUAAACUUCUUUUAUACGGGAAUAAACGAAUCCACGCGUGGAUUUUUGCAUGUACCGUAUGAAUAAGGAUCGGCUAACUCCGUGCCAGCAGCCGCGGUAAUACGGAGGAUCCGAGCGUUAUCCGGAUUUAUUGGGUUUAAAGGGAGCGUAGAUGGGUUGUUAAGUCAGUUGUGAAAGUUUGCGGCUCAACCGUAAAAUUGCAAUUGAUACUGGCAGUCUUGAGUACAGUUGAGGUAGGCGGAAUUCGUGGUGUAGCGGUGAAAUGCUUAGAUAUCACGAAGAACUCCGAUUGCGAAGGCAGCUUACUAACCUGUAACUGACAUUGAUGCUCGAAAGUGUGGGUAUCAAACAGGAUUAGAUACCCUGGUAGUCCACACGGUAAACGAUGAAUACUCGCUGUAGGCGAUAUACAGUCUGCGGCCAAGCGAAAGCAUUAAGUAUUCCACCUGGGGAGUACGCCGGCAACGGUGAAACUCAAAGGAAUUGACGGGGGCCCGCACAAGCGGAGGAACAUGUGGUUUAAUUCGAUGAUACGCGAGGAACCUUACCCGGGCUUAAAUUGCAACCGAAUAUGGCGGAAACGCUAUAGCUAGCAAUAGCGGUUGUGAAGGUGCUGCAUGGUUGUCGUCAGCUCGUGCCGUGAGGUGUCGGCUUAAGUGCCAUAACGAGCGCAACCCUUGCCGAUAGUUACUAACAGGUCAUGCUGAGGACUCUGUCGGGACUGCCAUCGUAAGAUGUGAGGAAGGUGGGGAUGACGUCAAAUCAGCACGGCCCUUACGUCCGGGGCUACACACGUGUUACAAUGGGGGGGUACAGAGGGCUGCUACCACGCAAGUGGAUGCCAAUCCCAAAAACCUCUCUCAGUUCGGAUUGAAGUCUGCAACCCGACUUCAUGAAGCUGGAUUCGCUAGUAAUCGCGCAUCAGCCACGGCGCGGUGAAUACGUUCCCGGGCCUUGUACACACCGCCCGUCAAGCCAUGGGAGCCGGGGGUACCUGAAGUGCGUAACCGCAAGGAGCGCCCUAGGGUAAAACUGGUGA
rnacentral:rRNA from 1 species